GUGCUCAUUCGGCAGCACAUAUACUAAAAUUGGAUCGAUACAGAGAAGAUUAGCAUGGCCCCUGCACAAGGAUGAUUCGUGAAGCAUUCCAUAUUUUG
ensembl:snRNA U6 U6 spliceosomal RNA